rnacentral:rRNA from 1 species
UACGGAGGGUGCAAGCGUUGCUCGGAAUUAUUGGGCGUAAAGGGUAGGUAGGUGGUCUCAUUUGUCUGGGGUGAAAGCCUUGAGCUUAACUCAAGAAGUGCCCCAGAAACGGUGAGACUGGAGUCUUGGAGAGGGUCGUGGAAUUCCCGGUGUAGCGGUGAAAUGCGUAGAGAUCGGGAGGAACACCAGAGGCGAAGGCGGCCUGCUGGGACAGUGCUGACGCUGAGGCGCGACAGCGUGGGGAGCAAACAGG